CUUGCUCCUGCAGGCUGCGCCUCCAUGCUAGCAGCUCUGACACCUGGCCCUGCACCUCUGACACCUGGCCCUGCAGCUCUGACACCUGGCCCUCCAGGUCGCCCACACGCAGCUGUAGCGACGCAGCGUCGGACGAGGCGGCGGCCUGCUGACCACUCGCCUGCUGAGCGGCAGGCGGCAAGACGCAACGGCGCGCGGUCUCAGGGUCUCCGUGCGGCUUGUAAACAUCCUUGCAACCCCCAUUGCGAACCCACCUGCUCCUCGCUAGGGCGGCGGCAGUCGGGGCCAGGGGCGGGCUCCUCGGCGCCCGCCUUUGCCUGGACAGCACCCCGGCUGGCGGCAGUGCUGCUCCAUGUGCUGCGCCUGGGAGCUGCUGCCACAGGGCAACAGCGGCCGCGGCGGCCCGCGGCAGCAGCAGGAGCGAUGGUGCGAGCCGCGGUCGCCGCCUGAAUGCUCCCGCGCGUGCACCGCUGCUGCAGCCCAAGCAAUGCCAGCCACGCUGGACCGCUCCGCGUGGCACAGCGCAUCCUGCGCAUAUGCAAGGAAAAGCACAAAGGAGAAAUAGCAAGGAGCAAGGACUACAAUUGACGGCGCCGGUUUUCCCGCCAAGCAACGUUGCCUGCGCCCCGGCGCCCACAGUGACGACCGCUUGCCUCAGACAGCCGCGCAACAAAACAUACCUUCAAGCGAAAAACCUUGAGCGAAGGACAGACGCGGCCAGAGGCGGUAUGGGAGCCGGUCGGCGGAGAGGGCUAUUGGCUUCUGGCAGCCGUGCAGCAGCAAGCACGGUCGUUCUGCGUGGGUCAGCUUCGCGGAGCAUAAUCUUAAAGACGUUGCAAGUAGCGGUCUUCCUCGGCAGGCUCAUCAGCAAGAUUGUGUCUUCAGCACGCAUGCAUCGGUACCGGCAACCCCGAACUCGACGCCUCAACUCACAGUCACCCGCACCGCAAACUAGCUACUUCGCCUUGCAAAUUUGCGUCAACCCAUGACAGCUUAUCACAAUGCCGCUACGCACGCAACAGGGCUCACCACGUCUCAGUGCAGGAACUUCAGGGUCCGCAUGGAACCUUAUCCCCAGCGAACACACCAACCCCACACAGCUCCUCCCACAGGGCCGGCUCCAAGCCUGCCGCGCACCACCCCGCCGCCCACUACCCACACGCAGCACACAGAAACCCUAGCUGCCCUCACAUGCCCCCACCCACUAAGACGACGCAACGGACAAGCUGGACAGCUUCUGCCCAGCUGCCUCCGCGGCCGCUCGCGUUUUGUCUGGCUGUAGCCUCGUCGUGCAGGUUAGACCAACAACAACACCCCUGAACAAUACGCACCUGCGGAUGGCUUGAGCAGCAGGGACGCCCGCAGCGGCGGCCGGUGAAGCAAGUCUCGAACGUGCCAGAAGCAGCCCAGUCGAAGGCGCUUGAUAGCGCACAGCGAACGUGCGUGGUUCGACGUUUAACUUGCAAGAAGCUCAAGGAGCUGAGAAGCCCUCUGUUGCAGUGGUGUGUCUGCCAAGGUCCCGCCAGACUCCCGUGCGUCACCGUAUGUCAUCCCCGCAUCCGAUAACCCCUCCGUCACACACAGAGUACACACACGACAAACACGUAUGCCUUGUCACCUGCCUAGCUAGUGCUCCGGCAUCACCCGAGCAACAGGUGCGUUCACGACCGCGCGCCACUUCUCAAGUGUCGUGUCCUUACUAACCCCCCCCCCAUACCACGCUUUAAACACGUCCGCGCAACGCACUAGCCACCCGCCUACUUUCCUGUAACCGUCGGCCGCGUACUCGCCCUGUGCCCGCCUGCACAGUUUCUCCUGAUGUUACCGCCCAUUUAGUUGCGCGCCAUCCCGUUGCAGGGCCCGACACCUCAACGACGCCUCGCCACCACCGCCACCGCACGUGCCGCCACAACCACUUGAUCCAAACAACCCGACUGCACCGCCUCUAUCUCCGCCCUACCGACACACAUGCAGUUGGCUACCGCCCUAUCACCGGCUCAGGUGAAGGGCCAUGCGGGCUCGUGGCAGCUAGCAGCUAGCGUGCAGCUGUAGCUGGCAGCAGCUGCAAGGCUACCACGGCCACCACCGCCACCGUUGCUGCGCCCGCACCUCCACCUGCCUCUGCUCCAGCUUGUGCUUUGCAAUCUGGACCUCCGCCGGUGCUACCACCAGAUCGCGCCAACGCCUCUCGCCGGUAAUGAAGUAAGAAUUGCUAACGCCGGUGGCGCGCCAGGUGACGUGCGCGAACUCGCCACAGGUGCUGACACUUGUGAUGAUGCCAUCGCUGCCUGGGCCGCCGUCCUGCCCGGCGGCAAUCCAGUUCGGUUUCCUGCUGUCCCAGUCCGGGCCGCGCCGCACCACCAGCCCCACAUGCGCGUUGUCGGCCGUGACCACUGCGCCGGGUACCGGCCGGGUACGGGGCAUGUGCACGUCGGGGUAGGGGCCCCGAAACGCACACUCCACCUCUGGCUCCACCUCCGGCUCCGGCUCCGGCUCCGGCUCCGGCUCUGUUGCUGCUGCCUCUGCCGCAGGCUCCUGCUCCUUGCUCGUGCUCCUGCCGUCACGACCCCCAUCCAGCAUGCGCUGCUGCUGCUGCUGGGAGGGCUCUGGCCGAUGCGUACCACAAUCCUGGAGGGUGGCGUGAAUGGCGGUACGGUAUGCGGAAGGAGGAUUGUAGCAACUUGUCGCAGGUAGCGGGCUAAGCAGGCUGAAGGCUACAGACAGCAGCAGCAUGCCGACAGCUGCUCGAUGUCGGGGGAGGAUCAGGGUCGGGGCUUGACGCGCAUGCCAUGUAUGGCGAGUGCCGACAGUGCCCUGCUUGACUGUUCCUGUGAUCGAUGCCGUAAGCCUCCGGCGCACGGCUCAAUGACACGCGCCUCACCUCCGGCGGCGGCUGCGGUCCUUGCUCCUGCAGGCUGCGCCUCCAUGCUAGCAGCUCUGACACCUGGCCCUCCAGGUCGCCCACACGCAGCUGUAGCGACGCAGCGUCGGACGAGGCGGCGGCCUGCUGACCACUUGCCUGCUGAGCGGCAGGUGGCAAGACGCAACGGCGCGCGGUCUCAGGGUCUCCGUGUUCGGCUUUUAAUCAUCCUUGCAACCCCCAUUGCGAACCCACC
rnacentral:lncRNA from 1 species